AUCUAUAUAAUAUAAAUAGUAUAUUUGACUUCCAAUCAUAAAGUCUAUUCAUAUAUUAUAGAUA
rnacentral:tRNA from 1 species